rnacentral:sRNA from 1 species
CUUAUUAGGGAUUCAUAUGGUUUAGUAGAUCGCCCCCUGUUAAGUUAUCUGUAGAAUUUUUCAUCUUUGAUU